CAGUGAUAAGAGCUGUAGUGGUAACGACCAUGAAGUAACUGCAGCCCUCUCUGCAUCACUUAUUAUGAAUAAAAUAUGAUGUGCGGUGUUAAUAAGCCAAGUAUUAGGACACUUUGUCAGUGUGCCAGUGACAGAUGAUCUGACUGCACCAGGAUGAAAACUGAUGAGCAACAUAAGAGGACAGAACUUAGAGGUAUGUUUCCCCAAAAAGCCCCCUGAAGAGAACAGACGGGCCUGCUCCACUUCUCCCCUGACUGACAGCACACUCCAGAGGAGCCACGCUGCAGGACACGCACACUGAUCCAGUCUGACACGCCUGACCUUUCCUGGGCUGCAUGGCUGGCUCACCGCGCACCGCGCCCUGCCCGGCUGAAAAGGCCAUGCAAUGCCAUGUAGGCAGUGCCAUCGCUGCCCACCACGGCACCAUCUUACUGCCAUCUCAAGAGCUGGCAAGGUGAAUGCACUGCGGAAAGACAGCCACUCAAUCUGAGAGGCUCUCAACUGCAAAACAAGGGUAUGCCAUCUGAAUUUGGCAGUGAUACA